CAAGUGUUGCUGGUGGAACAGUGGCCCCGCAGCGGGGACACUGUACCCCCCGACCCGGUGCUUCUGCCCAGCAUCCCACGCUGCACUGUGCCACUGUCGGGGCCCUGGGACGCCCACACUGGCAAUGCUGCUGAGCUCAGGGGCUCCAAACCCUCCUGGGCUGGAAACGGGGCGAACCGGGAGUGCAGCCCAGCAAGCACGGCACAGGCAGGGAGUGCGGCACGGUGUGUCCCGUUCCCAGCCCCGGGCUGUGGUUAAGGAGCCUGGGAUAAGCCCCGAGACAGCAGCCGCCUUGCUCGGCCGCCAGCCGUGUGGAGGCGGAGGAGCCGCAGCAGCCGAGGGGUUAAGCAGAGUCAGACCAGACAGAUCGUGGGGCUGUGCCGGGCUCUGCAGCUCGCUGCAGGAAUGCAGCAGAUGGGAGGAAGGACAAACAUCUGAAGAUGGAUAGGGUGUUUUGGUCCAGACUCAUUGCUGAAUUUGCCAAACUCAAAAUUAUUCCUGUAUUUUCUGGGAAGCAUUCUGCUGCAUUGCACCUCCCUGCACUGCCCCAGAGUGGGGUGAGGACACUGGGUCUGUGCCACAUGUGAACCAGCAGUUCCCAGUUCAUCCUCUCAGUGCUGCAGGAGCUGUCUGCUGUGUGGCACGCCUGGUACAUGGAGAGAAGCCAUCCCACGGCUCCCGUGAUGCCCGGGCUGCGCUCCAGGCACCGCAGGGAUGAGUCUGGCACAGCUGUCAAGAGGACCCCAUGGGUGAGUGGGGAAGAGGAGCAUCCUCCAAGCAGCUGGGUCCUUCUCCCAUAAGAGCAGCCAGGAAGUCUGGUGGGAUUAGCUCAAGGAAUCUCCUGCCCUUGCACCUGAAAGGAGAAGCCACAGAGCUGGGCAGAAGAGGAGGCAAGCCAGUCUCUUCUCAGGGCCCUGAUCUGCCACUGUUUCCUGUCCAGGCUUUUCGUCCUUGGACCUUUCUCCCCAAGCAGUUCCUAGAAUGGGCUGAGACCCUGGAAAAUCCCUGAUGAAGGGCAAAGUCCAGCACCCCAUUCCAUGUUGCUCUAGUGAGGCCCUGGUGCAGCCACCUGGUCCCCAGUGCUGAACCCAGGUGGGUGCCCACCACCUCCAUGCCCAACACUGCUGAGCUUGACUUCCUCCCCAUCCCAACAUUGAGACCAGCAGCCACAACAGCACAGGAGGAUCCAUCCAGCUCCGAAGGCUGCCAUGAGAGAUGAGCCAGAAUCGCCUGCCUUGCCUCCAACAGUCUUUUAAAUCCUCCCAGGGGUGGUGACUCCACCAUUGCCUGGGCAGCCUGUGCCAGGGCUCGACAACCCAUUCAGUGCAGAAAUUUUUUUCUAGUAUCCAGUGUAACCCUCCCCUGGCACCACUUGAGGCUGUUUCCUGUCGCCCUAUCACCCAGGACUUCAUCCAGUGGCCGGGACCGCAUGAGCCAAAGUCAGGAGAGAACCAGGGACUAACGGAGGCACCAGACACAGCCCGAGUUGUGCUGGGGAAUAUUUUGGCCUGCAAUUACUGAUUAAAAAUGUUUUCAUGGAGUCUCACAAAGCAUUUCAUCACUGGGGGAGGCUUUUGGGGUAACCAUGGUGCAGCAGCUCCGAGUUCAUAGGCGAAGCCGCAUCCGGGCCUGCCAGGAGCCCAUCGGAAUCCAAAAGCAGCCAGUUAUCCCAGUCUCUCUCCACCCGCUGGGAGGGAGCCGGAACAAAGGCAUUAGGGAGCAUAAGGAGAUUUACAUGUGCAAAGCUACUUCCAUUUUAAUAAGCCAAAGUGCUGUUAAACAGAGAUUGAUAUUUCUCCCCAAA